CAGAUGUCCCAUGUACAUCAUCACAAUGACACAGAUGUCCUGUGUACAUCACAGCAAGGGCUCAUCACCCAUGGGUAGGUAAAGAAGAGGCAUGGAGGUGAAUGCAGGCAGCAGCUUUCAGGGAAGAAGAAGCAUCAGGCUGCAGACCUUGCCUCCUCCCUGCCCUGAUGGCAGGACUGAGGCCUCCCAGGGAUGAAGAAACUGAGGCUGAGGCAGUUCAACAACUUGCCCAAGGCCACGCAGCAGAGGAGACCAAGACAGGAAGUUAAGUCACUUGCUAAUCAACGCUGGAGCUGGGAGGAGGCAGAAGAAUGUGGCCGAGAAGAACAACUAAGAACUUCCUGGCUAGGUCGUACCCAAAGACAGCCUUGGGUGCUUCAUGUAAUUUUAGAUGAUGAGGAGUUCACCUCACUGUGGCCUGACAGAAUGAGAAGGCUGGGCAUCAGUAUCAAGGGGAACUUGAAACGAACUUCAUCCAACACAGCUAGUGGGAGGCACAGGUCU
rnacentral:lncRNA from 1 species